rnacentral:rRNA from 1 species
UUGUCCCGGUUUAAGCGUGUAGGUGUGUGUUCCAGGUAAAUCCGGUUCACUUUAACACUGAGGCGUGACGACGAGGCACUACGGUGCUGAAGCAACAAAUGCCCUGCUUCCAGGAAAAGCCUCUAAGCAUCAGGUAACAUCAAAUCGUACCCCAAACCGACACAGGUGGUCAGGUAGAGAAUACCAAGGCGCUUGAGAGAACUCGGGUGAAGGAACUAGGCAAAAUGGUGCCGUAACUUCGGGAGAAGGCACGCUGACACGUAGGUGAAGUGAUUUACUCAUGGAGCUGAAGUCAGUCGAAGAUACCAGCUGGCUGCAACUGUUUAUUAAAAACACAGCACUGUGCAAACACGAAAGUGGACGUAUACGGUGUGACGCCUGCCCGGUGCCGGAAGGUUAAUUGAUGGGGUCAGCGCAAGCGAAGCUCCUGAUCGAAGCCCCGGUAAACGGCGGCCGUAACUAUAACGGUCCUAAGGUAGCGAAAUUCCUUGUCGGGUAAGUUCCGACCUGCACGAAUGGCGUAAUGAUGGCCAGGCUGUCUCCACCCGAGACUCAGUGAAAUUGAACUCGCUGUGAAGAUGCAGUGUACCCGCGGCAAGACGGAAAGACCCCGUGAACCUUUACUAUAGCUUGACACUGAACAUUGAGCCUUGAUGUGUAGGAUAGGUGGGAGGCUUUGAAGUGUGGACGCCAGUCUGCAUGGAGCCGACCUUGAAAUACCACCCUUUAAUGUUUGAUGUUCUAACGUGGACCCGUAAUCCGGGUUGCGGACAGUGUCUGGUGGGUAGUUUGACUGGGGCGGUCUCCUCCUAAAGAGUAACGGAGGAGCACGAAGGUUGGCUAAUCCUGGUCGGACAUCAGGAGGUUAGUGCAAUGGCAUAAGCCAGCUUGACUGCGAGCGUGACGGCGCGAGCAGGUGCGAAAGCAGGUCAUAGUGAUCCGGUGGUUCUGAAUGGAAGGGCCAUCGCUCAACGGAUAAAAGGUACUCCGGGGAUAACAGGCUGAUACCGCCCAAGAGUUCAUAUCGACGGCGGUGUUUGGCACCUCGAUGUCGGCUCAUCACAUCCUGGGGCUGAAGUAGGUCCCAAGGGUAUGGCUGUUCGCCAUUUAAAGUGGUACGCGAGCUGGGUUUAGAACGUCGUGAGACAGUUCGGUCCCUAUCUGCCGUGGGCGCUGGAGAACUGAGGGGGGCUGCUCCUAGUACGAGAGGACCGGAGUGGACGCAUCACUGGUGUUCGGGUUGUCAUGCCAAUGGCACUGCCCGGUAGCUAAAUGCGGAAGAGAUAAGUGCUGAAAGCAUCUAAGCACGAAACUUGCCCCGA